CAGCCGCCACGGGAAUACAGAGGGUGCGAGCGUUAAUCGGAUUUACUGGGCGUAAAGCGUGCGUAGGCGGCUUUUUAAGUCGGAUGUGAAAUCCCUGAGCUUAACUUAGGAAUUGCAUUCGAUACUGGGAAGCUAGAGUAUGGGAGAGUAUGGUAGAAUUCCAGGUGUAGCGGUGAAAUGCGUAGAGAUCUGGAGGAAUACCGAUGGCGAAGGCAGCCAUCUGGCCUAAUACUGACGCUGAGGUACGAAAGCAUGGGGAGCAAACAGGAUUAGAUACCCCGGUAGUCCCUGUCUCUUAUAC
rnacentral:rRNA from 1 species